UGGAUGACAUAAAGAGACCAGAUGGGAGGCUGUGUUACUCUUCCAGAUUUAAAGUGAUAUGGUAUGGAUUAGGAAUGUGAUCCGAAUGAACAAGACAGAAAGGCACCAUUUGAAAGUCUUAAGGAGGAAGUAAAGAACUAGAGGUCUAAGCUCAGAGGGACAUAGGAUGGCCUUUUGGGACACAGAGAUGACCUUCAGGCCAAGACACACUUUGAACUUUCCAGGGAAGGGAGAAUGAUGGUAGGCCGAAUCCAGAGGUACCAGCAACUCCUUCUUUUCCUGAAUUCAUGAAAAUUCUCCUGUGGACCUCAUUAAUUAAUUCCUGAACAUCCUGGCUUACUUCAGAUCUUGUUGAAUGACGUCAAACAGAUGCGAGUAGCAUGAGUACACAUCGUGCAGUGUGUUUAUUGAAAUGGACUUUUAUAUUACCAUUGUUACCCAGCGUGCUACCAGUCAAGGAGGUUUGGUGGCGCUGUUACAAAGCAAGGCUAAAGUCACCAAGGAAGCUGCUUAGCUGCCAGUUCUCCCCCAAUGACGACUCUGUGGUUAUGUGUUGGAACAGGUCACUCCUACUGUUUGUCAGCCGUGUUCACGGGUGGAAGCUCACUGGCCAUCUGUUUUCAGAUGCCUGCUUGAGCCCCAGGCUGUGUGUUCUUUUUUUUUUUUUUUCCCCUCUACUGUUUUCUGCACAAACCAAGCAAGGAAAUCUUAACAAGUUUUAUUGUUAUUGGGGUGCAUAUUAAGUGAAUUAAAUGUAAGGAAGCUACCUCAUGGACAGAUUAAGGGAAAAAAAUCAUAAAUACAGAGGAGCAGUAAAGUG